rnacentral:misc_RNA from 1 species
UGGUGAUGAAAAUUUCAAGGUCUAAGUUAAUAGUUAUAUUUUGCUUUGCAAUCCUUUUCAUAAGAAAAUUACCCUGAGCAUGGUCAUCAGAACAAUUUAUCCCAUGAGAGGUGUAGCUUGUUGGGGAUCCACAUCUAAAUUUUAAUAUAUAUGCAAUGAUUUACUCUUCUCAGUAUUUUUGAUAUUCUGUGCCCCUUAUUUCAUGUUUUAUAUCUAGUUGGCCUCGAUUCUCGCAUUAGAUAAAUGAUGAAAACUUUUAAUAGUUUUUCCUAUCACAGGAAAUGGGGAGAUUUUCUAGGGGUUAAAAAUCUGAGAAAUGAUAUGUUCCUCCAUGAGUUGUCCAUUAUUGUUAUUUUUAAUUUAUUUUGGUGCCGAAAAUAUUUGCUUUAAUUUCUAGAUAAUUAUUUGG